GCAGGAUUGCACAGCAUCCUGCAAGACGGCUUGAGCUUUGCCUGAUGAUCCAUGGGGAAUCUUCCAUUCGGUGCCUUUCAGAGAGGUCUGAGAGGAGUGAGAUAGAUGAUGACACUGCUUAAUCGUUAUCUACCAGGCACUCUGUUAAACAUUGUUUAUACAGUAUCUCAUCAUAUUAU
rnacentral:lncRNA from 1 species